UUGGGAUGUUGUCCCUGCGCCCCAGCAACAGGCAGCUCCUGGUGGCAAGGAGCAAUCUCUUGCCUGCUGCUGCCCGGCUGACUGGGAGCACAUUUACUCCUGGUCAGGGAUCUACACAUGCACUAUUGUGCAGUUACUAAUCACAAGUAAAUCUGCUACUUGCAUUUGCAGGUAGCAAAUUUACUCGUGAUUAGAACCACUUACUGUGCUGUACAUAUCUAUACGUGUAGAUGUGGACACUUACUGAGCAGUAAUUAGCUCUACUGAGCAGUAAACCAUCUCAUGUAGGCACACCCACUCUUCCGUAAGAGUGAGAGCUGUGUCUAGUGUGCUGGUUAAAAUUGCCUCUCACUACAGAGCUGUGCAGGAUUAUUGUUGUGCUCCUAGCUACUGCCCUCUCAUCCUGGAGAAAGCUACAUUUAAGUAAUGUAUCUAUACCAUUUUUGCUUCUUCUCAAGGAAAAGUAGUACUUUGGAUUCACACCAGUACAACUGAGAUUUGGCCUAAUCUCCAUGACGGAUUUUGCUAAUCCAUCAAGGAAGCAUGGAUAAACAAGAAUAAUCUGGGGGCAGAUUGGUGAGCUAAUGGUAAGAAACUAAAAGAAUGCGAAGUGAUGGAAGAGAAACUUGUAGAGAUUUCUUUUCCAUUUAAUCCUUUUUCUUUGCAUUUCCCUAUUUCCUAUUAUUGCUCCCCCUGCCAAGUUUAAUAAAAUAAAGGCUUAUGAUCUGGGGGGUGGGAAUCAUUGCAAAAAAACUCUGGAAUUCCCCAAAUGAAAGUUUUUCUCACUGUUCUGGCAACCAGCUUUGUGAUACCACUACUUCAUCAUUCCAGUCCUUACCUCUUAAUUAGGUCAUGCCCACAAUCAAAAGACGACUGUUUUAAAAUCGGUUUUGGUUUCAAAUCAGUUAUUAACUAUAGCAUACUUAUUUUUUAAACUGAUGCAAUAACAUGGACUUCAUUUAGUUUUUACAUCUUAUUCAAAUGAGGUUUGAAUGGGUUGGAGAUCAAUGUCGCUUCCAGUUGGGAGGCAGCAUCAAGUCAGGCAAAUUGCUUUUAAAUAAUACUUAAAAAAAUAGUUAAGAUCUGUGGGCAGCUUUCAUUAGAUGCCCCAUUUCAGUCUUCUAAAUCUUUAAAAAAACUUUCCCCCAGGAUGAUACUUUUUUACACUUGAUUUCUUCCCGGAAGUGACUUAUUUGGAAGGGUUCAGACAUUGUGUGCAUGUGUGUGAAGAUCGUCUGAAUCUCUACCUUUUCUAUUAUUAAUAAAGCAUUACCUUUUUAACAGCUCCAUGGCUAAAAUCUAGCAGGGGAGAGCUGUGAGGAGGGCCUUUGAAACUGAAAAGCAUAGGUUAUAAUUUGACUAAUUACUGAUUCUAUAUUUGGCGUGCAUUGUGGAUUUUUUUUUCUAGGAUUAUAGGCAGCUGUGGAGAGACUUGGUGCAUACAUGUGCAGAACUAAUUUGACUUCUCACUGAAAAAAGGUAUCCCAGCAUUUCUGUCAAUCAGUUUAUGUGCUGUGGGCAGAGGAGAGGCUCUGUACACUUGGAAAGGUGGAAAAAGGAUUUUUUCACCUUCCUCAGAAGCACUGGGUGCUAGUUGCAGCCAGGGCUGGGGUUUUGACUGUCAUGUGCCCGUGUUCCUGCUGGCACUAAAAUCCAGAGGUACCUGGCUAGAGGGUCUUUCCUCUUUGCUCAGGGGCUGAUUGUGAUAUUUGGGGUAGGGUGGCCAUUGGUCCUGUUUUAUACUGGACUGUCCUAUUUUUAAACCCUUUGUCCCUGUCCAUUUCUGAAUGAGGAGUCCUGGUUUUCAGUUCAUUGGUGGAAAUACAUGUCAAUCAUUUGUCCUUGUGAUUCUGUUGGCUGUCUAGAGGUAGGGCAGUGCACAGCCAGGGAGGGAGGUGGCCUUUUUGUUGUGGCCUCACCCCUCACUGCUGAUUGGUUGAGGUGGCCCCGCCCCUCACUGCUGAUUGGCUGAGGGGAGCAGUGGUCCCACCCCUCACCAAAGGGAUGUCCUGUAUUCUGGGGAUGGGUCAGUGGCCACCCUAAUUUGGGGUCAAGAAAGAAAUGUACUCCAUGGUCAGGUUGGUACAGACCGGGGGGUGGGGGGAGUUGCCUUUCUCUGUAGCAGGGGCUGUAUGGUUUUCUUUGUUGGGAGAUCCAAGGUAUUGUAACAGUCCCUGCAGCCGCAGGACACUGGGUGCCAUUGCCCCGAUUUACCUGUGGCAUGUUAGGGUAUUAUACCGUAUGCCUGUGUGUCAAGGUUGACUAUGUAGUUUUACUGAUAGGUUAGACAAGGAUUUGUAUAGGAUGGUUUGAAUAGAAAUGAUCCUCCCUCAGGCGGCAGGGAGGGGGAAGGAAUAGUUACACGAGGUGACCUCCAAAUGUCCCUUCCAGCCCUACUUUUCUAUGAUUCUCUGAAAAGGAUUGGGGAGAACUAUUGUGUUCUUUGCAAGAUGCUGGGAAAGAGCCUGGAUCUGAUGCAUCUAUGGUUCUCAGGAGAGGGGCUGGCUCUUGCAAGGCCUGCCCUCUCGUCAUGUGGAGUACUAUCUAUUCAGUACAAGGUAACAGUGAGGAUGUUCGGUGAUCGUGUGCAUCACCUCAGUCUGCCACCUACUUAAUUUCAUUGUUGUCUGGUCAAUGUGAAAGGUUUAAAUCUGCAUCCAAAGAUGGUACCCUGGACUAAUUUCCAAGUACACUGACUAGGACUCUCUCUAGUUAUUCUACAAGGACUAAUUUGUUUUUAACUUAUUUCUAUAUUAUUGUUGACAAUCAUUCUUUAAUGAGUGUCAUUACUAUAGUCAGAAUGCUUUACAGCCAUGGGGAUAAAUUCACCCAGCAAGACAGCAGGGCACAGUUUGCUCUCUUUUCUGCCUGAUGCAAGAAUUGACUCCCAGGUAAGCAAUCUUACAUUUCCGCUGAGACUUAAUUGAUUUGUAAUGGAAGACAAUGUCAAGGCAAUAUGCUGAGUUAAUACAUCUCCCAGUAAGCCUUCCUCUUAGCCUCUUCUGCCUGUUCUCCCCACUUUUGGAACUACCCCAGGUACCUCUCCACCACUACUGCAAGGACCAACAAUGAGGAGUCUGCUGGCUUCCAGCAGUGGAAGUGAAUUCACUUUUAAGAGCCAAAUAAUGCAGUCCUUAUUCAGUCAAAUUUCCACUGAAUGCAAGAGGAGUUUUGCCUGAGUGUCAGGGCUGAUUAAGGACAAUUUAAUGGCCAAAAAAUAUUUUCCUCUCCUGUUAACUGCAAUCUCUCUUCCAUUUUUCUGUAUGUUUCAGAAAGAUAACAAUUUUGGCUUUCCAGCUCAAGAUGUGAAUCCUAAGUUGAUAUUUUGUGUAUAGAAAGCUUAGUGUUGAUACGGCUUCUAUUUAAAAAAAUCUGAAAACAGAAAUGAUGGUUUUUACAACUAAUUCCAGACUUGCACAUAAGAACUUUAUAGAGUUAGCCCUCCUGCUGUUUUCAAAUAAAGCUAAAUGUCAGUCAUGUAAAAGCAAGACAAAAAUAUGCCCUCCAGAGCUUCUGCAGAACAUGAAAUAGAUGGGGUUUUGGACUAACUGGAAAAAAAGCAACAGCAUUGUACAGAACAGCAAGACACUUUUAAUGUAACUGGAAAAUACGUAAAAAGAGACUUUCCGCUGAGAAACAACUACCGCUGCCACUGGGUCCUGGAGCUCUGCCUCCCAGGAAACUCACAGCCUGGCCUUACUGGGGGCCAGAGUGCUCCCAGCUGGAGCAAAAAGGCAAAGCAUCCUCCUCCAUCCGUGGGGGCUAAUAAAACCCCAGUUGAGAAGCUUUUUUUGAAAUUUUUUCUGCCUUAAUUUUUAUCUUAACUUCAUCCAGUUACCUUCCCUCCUCCUUCCCCGAGUUAUAAUCUAGGGCUUGUAGUGAACCCUUAGAAAAGAGAUAGGAAAGCAGGACCUAGGGCAGAGGGAAGAAAACAGAAAGUGAACCACUGGGGAAGAGGAAAGAAAGAAAAAGAGCCUCUAGGAAGAAAUGGAUGUUUUUGGAUGUUUAUCUUGCUGGGAUCCUAUGACUCCAGCUGACUUCCUGCCCCUGGGGCAGGGGGCUGGAUUCAAUGAUCUUCCGAGGUCCCUUCCAGCCCUAGUGUCUAUGAAAUCUAUGAAAGUGGAAAUGGGGUGGACCACGCAAGGGAGAAAGGGAAAAGGAAAAAGCCACCAACAGAAAGGAAGGAAAUCAGAUACUAGCCAUAUUCCAUGAUGUUUUCUAACUUGGACUUGUGCUACAGAGACAUGUUGUUCUGUUUCUUUGCCAGCAUAUUGUCCUUAUAAAACACCUAGGAACAUAAUAGGGUGCCUGUACACAUGCUUGGGGGUGGGCGGGGUAGGCGUUUUAAUUAGACUGGCUCUCCAGGAACCACUCUAAUUAAAAUGCUGCAGCAUCACAUGUAUUAAGCCCCUGUGUAUUUAAAAAUGGCAGCGGGACACUUUAAGUCAAGCUCAUUCGACAAACUUUAGUUAAGGCACCCCAAAGGCCAUUUUUAAACCCACAGGGGCCUAUACACAUGAUGCUGUGGCAAUGCUAAAGCAUCCUAAUUAGAAUGCAGAGCAGACUUGAUUAAUCUCAUUCUCAGAACAUGCUGGAGCACAUGUAUUAGGCACCCAUUCAGUUUACUCAAUUAGUUGAACAUCCUUCUUAUUUGGAAAAGAGGUCAUCACAUUCAAUUACAAAAAGUAAAUUGCUUUCUGCUACACCCCCUCCCCCCCCCCAAAAAAAAAACAAACCCAACCCAAAACAAAACAAGAAAGUGGGUACCUUAUGAUGCAGCCAUAUUUCCUAAUCAUAGAAUCUUAUGUGUCCUCUGUCCUCGUAAGAAAAUACUUGUUCAGUGUCCUCUUGAUCUGCACUUUCUUUCAUUGUGCUCUUAAAUAACCCCAUUGAAACCAGUGGUAAUUUAUGCUGCUGUCUGCAGUUUUAACAAAGAGGUCAAGGCUUUGGUGGCUGUAAAGCAUAUUGAAAGGCAGCCUAAGAACAAGAAAAGGUAAAUACUGUGCUGAAAAACAAGAGCUGUUCCAAGGACAGCUGGCACGUACUUCUUAGUGCAUUCCUUCCUCUCAGAAUUGAAGGCCCAAAUUGGGAAGUUUGCAUUGCUGUGAUGCCCUCCUUCUGCCCAUAAAUAAUGUCUGUCAAUUGUGAAAUCUUCUCUGUCUGAGGAGUGUUAAUUUGUUUGGAGUAAAGUUUCUGAGCACAUUUAUACGAAGAGGUCUCUUUUGUCUCCUGGUCCAGGUGUGCCUUUAACAUGACUGGAUUAGCAGUUCCUGGCUAAAUCACAGUUAAAUGGUCAUCCCCUUAUUUGUAUUGUGGCCCCUCCAUUUCUGAAGGGCUCAGCACCCAGACUUGGUCACAACCAAAAUGCUGUUUUGAAAAGUCUCCAAAGGGACCCUGAGCUCUGAAGGAGACAGGCGCUUGCUCCUGUGUAAAUUUGGAAAAUUCUGACUUCAGCCCAUGUUUCAUUUUCCCUUUCUGAUCAGUGUGGACAGAGCACCUCAUGUCUGGAAAGCACAAGGAACUCUCAGUACUUCAAUUAUUCCUUCUAGCGACUGCUCCAGCUACUGCUCUCAGAAGUAGGCCCGUUUAAGGUGUCUUGGUUAUGGCAGCUAAAGCACAAGUACAGUGAUUCGCAACCAGGAUUCUGCGACAGUCUUUGAAGGGUGUUGCUCGGAGAGGAAAUAAGUGCAGGUUCUUCCCUGUCUGGCUGCUCCUCAUCCUUCCCAGCUUCUCUUCAAGCAGGGAAAUGUUCUCUUCUAGGCCAGCUUACAGAUGAAUUGCCAGGGGACAAGUCCUGUCUUUACUAAAGGCUUUUGUUUGGCUUCUGGGAAAUUUCUGAACAAAGUGCAGUAGGAUAAGGAUGCAGAGAAUAAAUAGCCCACUUGAACUGUGGCCUCCUUAUUUUUGCCAUUAGCUUAUUGUAAUUCAACAGACAAUUUGUAACAUUACUUUGGCCUGUAGGUGUACGCCUUUUACAAGUUUAGCAAUUCUGGGAAGGACCAGAUGAAGGUUCCCUACAGCUAACCCUUGCAGCCCGUACCCGCAGCCAGCUGGACUCUGUUCUUUUGACUUGACCAAAAGGCUGAAAUCAGUUAGGCCGAAUUGUCUGUGCUGGGGUUGUGGGCCACAGCCCACCACAUUUACUUAGUAGCCCCCUCUAACUGGUGGCUAGUGGGGACACAGACAAUUGAAUGCAGGGAACAAAAAAUGACUAAAGGAUGUGCAGGUGGUCAAAGGGUUAAAAAAAUAAGUGCACUUUCAGGGUCAUUGAGCAGAGCACCCCCGACAGCACCCACCGACUCUCAAAGGCAGCCACUGAAAUCUGUUAGGGGAGAAUGGGAAGUUGUGUUUGAAUCACUGGAGAUAAAAGGAAAGAGCAUCAUGAGGUAACUGGAAGAAUUUCUGACAUCUUAUAAAUGCCAGGAGUUUGGGGCAUAAACUGCUGAAAGCUCAAAAUCUUAGAACACAACCAAAACUCCAGCUUAACUGGGAUCACAGAGAUUUGGUGGGAUACAUUUCAGGACUGGAAUAGUGGCAUGGAGAGGUAUAUAGUGUAUUCUAAGUCUAUAGCCUUAGGACCAGAAUCAGGUAAUGGACUUACGGAUAGACACCAACGAGUGUCGCUUACACUGAGUUGGAGUAAAUGUUCUGGGAUAGCUAGCCCUGAAUUCUUCAGGCCUCUUAAGGCUUACUCCCUUGUUUCUCAGAGUACCUUAUGCUUCUUAUCGCAGCAUUGAUAUUGACAGCAUCUUAAGUCAAUUCAGAGCUGCAGUUAGAAGCUUUAAACUUGAUGGCUGCCAGUCAAAUUUACAAGCAACCCAGUUACACAGAGUACAAUUGCUUUACUUUCCAGAGGUCUUAAGUGUCAGGCUCUUAACUGAUAAGCAGAUAACUAGCGUCUGUAAGUGUAGCGGUAGAGAAAAAUGGAGACUGUUGUGUUACUUCAUUAAGCAAAUAAUACAACUUUGCAAGUAGGCACGCAAGUGGAGUGCAUUAACUGGACCCAGCCCUGCUGCUCAGGAGCCCUUCACCUACUGCUGGGGUAGGGUGGGCGGCUGGGGCGACCCUGGGAUCUUGGGGCGGUGACAGUGCAGGGCCCAGGUGUGAUCCGCUGCCUGCUCGCCCCUGCGAUGGGUGCAGGUUGUGGGCAGGGAG